ACGAGUCAUUCCAGAGAAGUAUAAACUAAGGUAAGCACUAGAGUAUUGCCUUUAUGAAGUCAGGAAUCUUUCUUGUUUUCUUCAUUUGGCACAGUACCUCCCAUAAAGAGCACAUUUAAUUCACAUUAGUUUAAGAGCUCAAGAAAUAGUUUGAAAGAAAAAAAAAAUGACUGAAAACCUUACUUGCAUUUGAACCUCACAUGGACAUUAUUUAUUUCAGCAAACAUAUUGCCUUGAUAAAUACAGUAAUAGAGACUAAGAGUAAAAUCUCAUGUGCAUAGAUAAUUGACCUAUUUCUAUGUAAAUGCAAGAAUACCUUUGAACACAUUAUUUUUCUUCUUUUUUUUUAGAACUUGUUGAGAUUGCAUGAAAGUGACAGAAAAGAAGACUAAGCUUCCUGAUCCAGUUUAGAAAGAAUUGCUGACAAUGUGCCUCCCACCUGUGAAAACAAAACCAAACAAACAAAAAGCCCUGGGAUCACUGCAAAUCCAUCCACAAAAGGCACUCCCACCUUCAAGUGUCAGGUUACUUCUAUUGAAAAGGACUCAGAGAUGUGUACCCGGAAGAGAUCAAGUUCUAACCUGAAACCAACCUUGCGUGGGAGAUUUGUGGCUCCUGACCAAGAGAAGCCAAUACAAGGAGAUGGGCCUGAGCUCCUGAAUAUUCAAAAUAUUAGUUUUUCCUUCCCACACAUUACUCAGGAGACCAAGGACUCCAUGGCCAAAAACAAAACAAAACAAACAAACAAACAAAAAACAAAAGGUAAGAAUUUGUGAAUAUU